GCUAGGGGUGGAUGGAUGUAGAGCUAGCAGGGUGGAUGUGUAGGGCUAGCAGGGUGGAUGCUAGCAGGGUGGAUGUGUAGAGCUAUGAGGGUGGGUGUGUAGAGCUAUCAGGGUGGAUGUGUAGAGCUAUCAGGGUGGAUGUGUAGAGCUAGCAGGCUGGAUGUGUUAGCAGGGUGGAUGUGUAGAGCUAUGAGGGUGGAUGUGUAGGGCUAUGAGGGUGGAUGUGUUAGCAGGGUGGAUGUGUAGGGCUAUGAGGGUGGAUGCAGGCUGGAUGUUUGACGUCAUUGUGGGUGUGAUUGAUGAACAGAAGGCUUAGUGAGGCAGAGGAUGUGUCGGAACCUUUCAGAUAUAUUAAACCCUGCAUGUGCCGGUGUGUGUGUGUGUGUGUGUGUGUGUGUGUGUGUGUGUGUGUGUGUGUGCGUAUGUGAGUGCGUGUGUGUGUGUGUGUGUGUGUGUAAUGAAGUAGAUGCUAGAUGGGGUGCGGAGUAAUGAAUGGGGAGAGAUUUUAUGAUUACGAUUAUUAAUUCGCUGAAAAGCUUUGCUGCGUUCUGAUUGGCUUGUAGACAGCCUUGAUGGACCCCCUCCCUCUUGACACACACACACACACACACACACACACACACACACACACACACACACACACACACACACACACACACACACACAACCUGUAUUUAAUAACUGCCUAAAGAAAAGUAUGGCGGUGGCAGCAGGCCGUCUGGUUGCCGUGGUGACGGCGAGGUAAUGACGUUAGGAAGCAGAGAGAGUAGGACAGCAUCCUGCACACACAUACACACACAAACACACACACAGACACACACACACAUAGAGACACACAGACACACACACACACACGCACACACACACACACACACACACACACACACAGAGACAGAUAUAGACACUCACACACACCCACACAGAGACACAAACACACCCACACACACUCUCAUAAACACACACACACACUCCCCUGCCACGCUCCUGAAGGCUGUAAAAACAACUGCAAGGACACUUUAAUGUAACGGCUCCAUGUCUUUAAAUCUCUCGACCUCUAUCUUUACCUCUCCUUUCUACACUUUACCAAUGUUUAACCCUCUUUACCUCUAUUUACCACUCUUUAGCUCUGACUCUAUUUACAUCUCUUUACUUCUAUUUACCUCUCAGUUCCUCUCCGUUCCUCUAUAUACUCUCUUCACCUCUAUUUAACUCUAUCUACUUCUAUUUACCACUCUUUACUUCUAAUUACCACUCUCAUCAUCUUCGUUAGAUAUAGUUUUGGAAUCAUCUGAUUUCAAUAUUUUUCCAAUAUUUCUAUUUGAGGAUAGUGCAAAUCAAUUGAUCAUCAUUAGAAUCACAUGAUCAUCAUUAGGAUCAAAUGAUCCUCAUAGAAUCACAUGUUAAUCAUUAGAAUCACCGGAUCAUCAUUCAAAUCACAUGAUCAUUAGAAUCACAUGUUAAUCAUUAGAAUCACAUGAUCCUCAGUAGAAUCACAUGAUCAUUGUUAGAAUAACAUUUUCAUCCUUAGAAUCACUCGAUCAUUAGAAUCACAUGGUCAUCAUUAGAAUCACAUGAUCAUUAGAAUCACAGGAUCAUCAUUACAAUCACAUGAUCUUCAGUACAAUCACAUCAUCCUCAUUAGAAUCACAUGAUCAUCAUUAGAAACACAUGAUCAUCAUUAGAAUCCCCUGAUCAUCAUUAGAAUCCCAUGAUCUUCAUUAGAAUCAGAUGAUCCUCAAUAGAAUUUCAUGAUCACAUGAUCAUCAUUAGGAUCAUGAAACUGUUACAGGCCAUCUGAGGUUGGCUUUGUAGCUCCUGACGAACGCUUCUGCGUUGAACUCAAGAUAACUGCAGUUUAACUCCGGCAGUGAACUAUGUUGUGAUCAUGGUCAAUGCUUCUGAGUACACCAGGAUACUUAGUCUGCAGAAAAGUGUUUCUAAAAUAAUAGAAUAGUGUUAUAAUAAUGUCAGCAGAGGUCCCUCCCGGAGGUGUCAGUGUAGCGAGACCACAUAUCUGUGGUCUAACAGUGCAAUUAUGUAAGCAGGAACUAUUUUUCGCUGCAUCACACUCUUGCUUUGACUGCUGCAGUACCUUUCAGAACACUGCAGAUAUAUGGAUAUUUAACAGCAAUGCAGACGUUGAUCCAGUUUCCCCCCCACCAGAAUACCUCGGUAUUAGGACUGCAUGGGGAACAUGUUAUGUAUCGAUUAUUAUAUUGAUUUCAACAGGGAUAGCGAUAUGGUUGGACAAUCAUUAACUAGUAUAAAUCUAACAAAUGAAAACUAAAACUUUAAAUUGUAGUUCAUGCUUGAUCUAUUCUUUUCUUCAUUAUGAUUAACAACCAAUAUAUUAUAACAACAUUUAAUAAAUGCUUUGACUACUUUUCAAAUGAUUAAAAUCAGUAGUAAGUAUUUGUCUAUGGGAUGAAGCAUUUUUCAUGGUGUUUAAUCCUACAAAGCUCUGAGCCGAUUCUCCUAAAUAAAUAUAAGAAUCUGUUCCAUAAUCUAUUCCUGUCCUUAGUGGCCUGCUCUUCUAGUUUUCUGCGAGAAUUAUUAAUCACAUGUAUUAUUAUAAUCAAAAAUGUUAGUCAAUCUUACAUGUUUUUCGUAAAAAAUGAUAUUUAAUCCUGUAUAUUAUAACACUAACACAUAACCUACACAUUAUGAUCCUACUUAUAAUCAUAACCUACAUGUUAUAAUCCUAUAUGCUAAAAUCAUAACCUAAAUGUUAUAAUCCUACAAGCUAAAAUAAUAACCUAUAUGUUAUGAUCCUACAAGUUAUAAUCAUAACAUACACUUCAUUACCUACAUGUUAUAAUCCUACAUGUCAUAAUCAUAACCUACAUGUUAUAAUCCUAAGAAUAAUAAUCAUAAAAUCCAAUUUAUAAUGCCACGUGUUUUAAUUGUAACAUGCACUUUAUGAUCCUACAUUUGAUAAUGUUAACCUUCAUGUUAUAAUCCUACAUGUUAUAAUCAUAACCGACAUGUUAUUAUCCUACAUGUUAUAAUCAUAAAGUCAUUUUGUAAACCCUGAUGUUAUCAUCAUAACCUGCAUGUUGUGAUCCUUCAUUCAAUAUUCAUUACCUACAUAUUAUAAUCCUACAUGUUAUAAUUAUAACCUACAUGUCAUUGACCUCAUCUUCAUGUGAUAAUCGUAAAUUAUUAUCAUAAACUCAUUAUUGACAUUAAGUUAUAUAUUUACACUUAUAAUUUAAAUUAAGUUCUUUUUUUAUCUUAUAAUUUACAUUUAGUUAUAUAUUUACACUUAUUAUUUACAUUUAGUUAUAUAUUUAUCUUGUUAUUUACAUUGAGUUUUAUAUUUACACCUAUUAUUCACAUUUUGUUUUAUACUUACACAUUAUAUUUACGUCUAUCUUUAUAUUUACACUUAUUAUUUACAUUUUUUCUCAUAUUUACAUUUUGUUUUAUAUGUACACUUAUUAUUUACAUUUUGUCUCAUAUUUACAUUUUGUUUUAUAUGUACACUUAUUAUUCACAUUUUGUUCUAUACCUGUUUCGUUUUUUUCUUUAUUUUCUAACAUUUAUUCUUUGUUUAGAUGUUGAAAAUUGCUGAGAUUGUACUGUAAAAAUAUACAUAAAAAAAUGUGUACAUUAAGCAGUAUGACACCGUCCAUGAGUUCUAGAAUGUAGAUUAAGAUAAAUACCCAAGCCAUUAAAACACAAACACAGAGAAUAUUUAAGAUGGGCUGAGACAGAGUCGGGAACCAAUGGCUUCACGGGGAUCAGGUCAGGAUCCAAUCAGAGGAGAGGAUAGCCGCAGUAUUUAAAGGACGACAUCAUCUGGAGCCAAGCCUGCGGCCAGAAGAACCGGUCUAUAAAGAUAAGUCCCGCCCCCGGACUCCAUGCUGCUGUACAUCACUGUAUUCACAGAGCGCUGAAACACUGUUAACGGCAUCGGGUGAUAAUUAAGUGAUUAUUAUAACAAUGAUUGAACGUAAUUCAUCAUCAGCCAGGAAUCCAAACGGAGUAAUUACCAAGCACCUGGCUGCCGCGUGUCACGCAACGUCUUGUGAUGUCAUCAUCACGCGACCACCAGGUCCUUCCUGUCACAUCCUGUUAUCCCUCACAGGCACAAGCUGCUCGCGCCCUCUCCCUCUCCCUCGCUCGCUCCGUCUCGCUCUCCAUCUGCUUCUCUCUCUCUCUCUCCCUCUCCCUCUCUCCCUCUACCCCUCUCUCUCUCUCUCUCUCUCUCUCCCUCUCUCUCUCUCUCCCUCUCUCUCUCCAUCUGCUUCUCUCUCUCUCUCUCUCUCCCUCUCUCUCUCUCUCUCUCCCCUCUCCCUCUCCCCUCUCUCUCUCCUCUCUCUCUCUCUCUCUCUCUCUCUCUCUCUCUCUCUCUCUCUCUCUCUCUC
ensembl:lncRNA